rnacentral:ncRNA from 1 species
AGAGUAAGAAUGUGUUCGAUAUACCGGAAACGGUAUAGCAGUGCCGACGGGACGGGGAGUUGUCCGCCGGACGAAAGCCACAUGGCUGCGGUUCGCAUUCUGCAUCCCGCU